GACGAACGCUGGCGGCGUGCCUAAUACAUGCAAGUAGAACGCUGAAGAGAGGAGCUUGCUCUUCUUGGAUGAGUUGCGAACGGGUGAGUAACGCGUAGGUAACCUGCCUUGUAGCCGGGGAUAACUAUUGGAAACGAUAGCUAAUACCGCAUAACAAUGGAUGACACAUGUCCUUUAUUUGAAAGGGGCAAUUGCUCCACUACAAGAUGGACCUGCGUUGUAUUAGCUAGGAGGUGAGGUAAUGGCUCACCUAGGCGACGAUACAUAGCCGACCUGAGAGGGUGAGCGGCCAGAUUGGGACGGAGACACGGCCCAGACUCCUACGGAAGGGGGCAGUAGGGAAUCUUCGGCAAUGGGGGCAACCCUGACCGAGCAACGCCGCGUGAGUGAAGAAGGUUUUCGGAUCGUAAAGCUCGGUUGUAAGUCAAGAACGGGUGUGAGAGUGGAAAGUUCACACUGUGACGGUAGCUGACCAGAAAGGGACGGUUAACUACGUG
rnacentral:rRNA from 1 species